rfam:Tuber melanosporum whole genome shotgun sequence assembly, scaffold_21, strain Mel28
GGUUUUGUAGUGUAAUGGCUAGCACCCGGGAUUCUGAUUCCCGUAAUCUGGGUUCGACUCCCAGCAAGACCU